rnacentral:lncRNA from 1 species
GAUAUUGAACAAAACAUAAGAAAUGAUCGUAUCAUUUAAUGGAUGUACUGUAACACGAUUGAAUAGUUAUAAAUUAACUAUUCAGUAGUAUUAGAUCUUGAGAGGAAGUAAGCAAACCACUCCCGCAUCCAGAAGUACAUUAGUUUAAGAAUUUCCUUGUAAGAUGCUGACCAAAAUUAAAUUUUGAUUGUCAGUAGGUUAUGUAGUUGACAUUCAACAACUUCUAUUAUUCAAACAUGAAGCAAUCUACAAUACUUUUUCACCUUACCAUGAUCUAACUUCUUCUAUUGUUGCAUAUUUCACGAAAUCAAACUCCUUGGAGUAUCUAGCUACACGAUCGAUAACCACUUGAGCUGCAGAAAGAAGUAUAAAUCAGCUAAAUUCUUUAAGAUUUUCCAGCGUCCAAUUAAAAAUCGCUAAUAUUGAAUAGAAAAAAUAAACAUACCACAGUUCUAUUUAUCAAAUUUAUUUAAUUCUCUGUGUAGGAUUAUUUUCUAGUUUAAUAACUAUGAUAUAAUAGGAACAAUGUGUACAGUUGGUAGAAAAACUAACAUUGAAAUAAUUGUUCUCAGAUACUUUCCUAUAAAAUCUAUCAUUCAUUUAAAUGAUUAAAGCUGAAAAUGCCCUGUUUCCACACAAGCAAACAAUGAUAUAUAAAUUCAUAUGUAUAAAACUCAAGAGUAUGCUUAACAGAUAGAGGCAGAAUCUAAUCGAUACAUACCAAAGGUUCUAAGAAGGAAGGCACAAUAAGAUUCAUCAUACCAACAACCAAUCCUUUGAAAGCAUUCCUCAAUAACGAGUCGACGACUCGUGAACAACUGCCACAUCAAAUCUCAAGUAAUUUACUAAACAUCUAUAUAAAAUUCAAAUUCUGUGAAAACCACCACAAAUACAAACAAAUUUCACAAAAUAUAAUAUUCCCAAACAGAGAUAAUGUAUAAGUCAAAAAUUCUAAACCACAGACCACCAUAGUAAGCUUAAUAUAGUUGUCGAUUAUUUCACCUUUAUCGUAUGCCCCUCCUACCUCUGCAUAGCCACAAGCCAAUUUUUGAAAUCAAAAUCGUCGAGCAAAUCUGUCUCCUACAAGGGGUACAAGUAAACAAGUUAGGGCUCAUACUAUUUAAGAACUUGUGAAAAUCUUGGGAACGAGGCAGAGCGAAUUGUCGCGCCACGAGAGGGUGAAGACGAAAGUGAAUAAGUUUGUAGAGAAUAGAACAGGACUAGGUGGUGUAGCGGAGUGUGAGUAAGAAAAAUAGGAAAUUGAAUAGGUAAUGGGCAUAGGAGAUUGGAGAUGAGUUUCUCCAACUCUUCGUGGUGGGUGGGGUCAAGGGUGGGAGGUUAUAUAAUAUAUUUACAAUUACCACAAAAAUAA